rfam:Populus trichocarpa scaffold_17_contig_372, whole genome shotgun sequence.
AAUGGACUUAUUUGGGCUGAAAAUCGAACAAUGUCUUGGCUGCACGACGAAUCUAGACUUCUUAUUUGUUUCUAAGAUUUGAACUUAAAAAUAACAAUAUUGAGUAUUGAGAUUUCAUGAGUGUUUUAGGUCUAUAUCUUAGCUUUCCAUA